rfam:Ictidomys tridecemlineatus contig045857, whole genome shotgun sequence.
GGGAAUGUAACUCAGUGGUAGAGUGCUUGCCUAGUGUGCAAGAGACUCUGGGUUCAAUCCCCAGCACUGCAA